CCUAGGAGGAAGGGGGGAUUGUUAGCAGCAUAGGAUUGAAGAGUUGGAAGAGACCUUUAGAACAGCUGAUCAUUGUGCCAACCGGGUGUCUGCACUGAGUUCGGCAUCAAUAUGGUAACUUUCUGGGAGCAGGGGGCCACCAGGUUGCCUAAGGAUGAGUGAACUGGCCCAGAUCAGAGAGGGAGCAGGUCAGAACUCCCGCACUGACCGGUAAUGUGACUGUGCCUGGGCAAUAUAGCAAGAUCUUGGUUCUUAAAA
ensembl:misc_RNA Metazoa_SRP Metazoan signal recognition particle RNA